GCAUUAUGUGUUUGAUAUAAUUUAUAAUAUAGAAAUCAAAAUAGUAAAACAGAGGCAAAUAUUCUUAUCUUUUAUGACAAACCUUUUUUGAAAAAUGUUUUUACACAAUAUUGCCUUUUUCUCCUUAUUUUCCAGUCUCAGAACAUCCAGGCUUUCUCCAAGCCUAGAUAUUUCAGUUUCAACAAGCUCUUUUGGUGGCACUAUCCAACCGUCCAACUUCUGUACAAGUUUCUAUGCCUUUGUGAGAAUAAGUGAAAGAUAAUAUCAAGUCCUUCCGGAGGUUCAGAGCCAGAAAGAACCAAUAAGAUCCACACUCCACAAGUCCUACAAUGACGGCGAUUAAACUCUGCAGCCGUGUGGCACACCAGGACUGCCCAUCUGCCGCCCAGAGCUGCUCCAUCGCUCCCUUUCACUAAAGGGACUUCAGGUGAAAACUGGGAGUAAGGCUGGACCACGCUGCUAAUUUUGUUUCUCAACAGUCUUCCCCCAAGAGUGCCUUGCUCCCUUUCCCGUGCCGUGGGUAGACAUGAGCCUGCCCCGUGAGCAGGCACCUGGGGCAGUGGGCAGGGGCUGUCGUGCCACCAGUGCGUGCCCGUGGACUGGGUGCACUGGGGUGGAUGGCCAGGGCUGGCAUCGAUGCCUCUUCUCUACAGCAGGACUGACUUGACGAACAGGCAGUUAGAAAAGGAGUUUGCGGCUCUUGGCAUAGGGUAAAUCAUCCAAAUUUGGCCAUUCAUCUUUCAGCAGAUAUGUGUUUUAUUGUUCUGUAGGAAAACUCUGUCAGGCAACUGAAAGAUUUUCACCGAAGAAAAGCAGCCUGCUGUAUAUUUUCUUUUACUUUAUCCUUGGAAUUCAACUGGCAUUAAAUAACAGUGCAUUUA